rnacentral:rRNA from 1 species
UACGAAGGGGGCUAGCGUUGUUCGGAAUUACUGGGCGUAAAGCGCGCGCAGGCGGCUAUCCAAGUCAGUGGUGAAAGCCCGGAGCUCAACUCCGGAACUGCCAUUGAAACUGUUUAGCUUGAGGACGAGAGAGGUGAGUGGAAUUCCCAGUGUAGAGGUGAAAUUCGUAGAUAUUGGGAAGAACACCGGUGGCGAAGGCGGCUCACUGGCUCGUUUCUGACGCUCAUGCGCGACAGCGUGGGGAUCAAACAGG